UACGAAGGGUGCAAGCGUUAAUCGGAAUUACUGGGCGUAAAGGGUGCGUAGGCGGCGCGGUAAGUCGGGUGUGAAAUUUCGAGGCUUAACUUCGAAACUGCAUUCGAUACUGCCGUGCUUGAGGACUGGAGAGGAGACUGGAAUUUACGGUGUAGCGGUGAAAUGCGUAGAUAUCGUAAGGAAGACCAGUGGCGAAGGCGGGUCUCUGGACAGUUCCUGACGCUGAGGCACGAAGGCCAGGGGAGCAAACGGG
rnacentral:rRNA from 1 species